UGGGGAAUUUUGCACAAUGGGCGAAAGCCUGAUGCAGCAACGCCGCGUGUGUGAUGAAGGUCUUCGGAUCGUAAAGCACUUUCGACCGGGACGAACAAGCCUGGCCACACCAGGCCCUGACGGUACCGGGAGAAGAAGCACCGGCUAACUCUGGGCCAGCAGCCGCGGUAAUACAGAGGGUGCAAGCGUUGUUCGGAAUUAUUGGGCGUAAAGCGCGUGUAGGCGGCUUAGCAAGUCGGGCGUGAAAGCCCUCGGCUCAACCGAGGAAGUGCACCCGAAACUGCUGAGCUUGAGUGCCGGAGAGGAUGGCGGAAUUCCCCAAGUAGAGGUGAAAUUCGUAGAUAUGGGGAGGAACACCGGUGGCGAAGGCGGCCAUCUGGACGGUAACUGACGCUGAGACGCGAAAGCGUGGGGAGCAAAC
rnacentral:rRNA from 1 species